CCCUUCGGGGACAAAGUGACAGGUGGUGCAUGGUUGUCGUCAGCUCGUGUCGUGAGAUGUUGGGUUAAGUCCCGCAACGAGCGCAACCCUUGAUUUUAGUUGCCAGCAUUUAGUUGGGCACUCUAAAGUGACUGCCGGUGCAAGCCGGAGGAAGGUGGGGAUGACGUCAAAUCAUCAUGCCCCUUAUGACCUGGGCUACACACGUGCUACAAUGGAUAGUACAAAGGGUCGCGAAGCCGCGAGGUGGAGCU
rnacentral:rRNA from 1 species